CGAAGACAACCGUGAAGAGUCUUCUAUCACAAUUAUGUGAAAAGAAUCUCAUUAAUGAAGAGCUCAAGGACAGACUUGAGUUCUACUCAGGUACGAUGAAAUUACCACUGUGAAAUGUAUUUAUUAGCUAAAACUUGUAGUCAUAAUUGAAGGUGACAUGUGAAUUUUGCCUCAUAUUAUUUCAGAUCUUAAACUAGACUUCAUGGCCAGACGAGGUCAUGAGUACUCAAAGGAGCACAGGGAAUUUGCCCUGACCCUCCAUCUUCAUAGUCCUAAGGCAUACAGAUACCUUAGAGACACUAUGAACUUUCCCCUCCCCCAUCCACAUACAUUACAAAGGUAGUCCUAAUGUUAUCAAAUUCAGUUUCGGGAAGUUACAUACAGUAGUAUAGGCUAUAUGUUUAACUGCUAUACCUCAAUAUUUUUUGUACAGAUGGCUUUGUUCUGUGGAUGACAAGCCUGGCCUGAACAAAAUGAUGUUGGAUAUGCUGGAGGAAAGACGGAAGUAUGACCAUGCUAAAUAUGGGCGUGUUGCACUCAUGUUAGAUUCCAUGGCCAUAAGAAAACAUGUGCAAUAUAAUCCGCACAACCAGUCAAUGUCUGGCUUUGUAGACAUGGGUGAUGGAAACAAUGAGACUGAUGUUGCUACUGAGGCGCUUGUGUUCCUGGUUGUUGGCCUUCAAGGACAUUGGAAGGCUCCCAUUGCAUAUUACCUGACGAAGACUCUGUCUCCAGACACACAAAGGGUCCUUCUCACUCAUGCAUUGGAGGAGCUGCAUGCACAGGGUAUUCAGGUGGUAUGUGUCACAAUGGAUGGCCAUGCUACAAACAUCAGCAUGUGCAAUCAACUUGGUUGUGAGCUGAGGGGUAACCCAGAAGAGCCACUUAAAACCAGUUUCCCACAUCCGUCGACUGGUGACCAAGUAUUUAUAAUGAUGGACGCAUGCCACAUGCUGAAGUUGGCACGUAAUAUGUUGCAGGUAAAUUACAAAUGUUGUAUACCUAUUUGUACAAGUUAUGUCUCUGCUACUAAAAGUUGCACAUUUAUUACUGGAUGUGAAGAUCAACAUUGUGCUGUUUGUACUUGUUUGAGCAGUGACAAAUUCUUUCUCUGCAGUCAUACAGUCCGAUUGCAUCUACCAGUGGACAGAUAAAUUGGAGGUACAUUGAUCAGCUCAAUGAUGUGCAAAAAAAAGAUGGACUGCAUGCUGCAAAUAAAAUUACAGACAAGCAUAUCCACUUUGAGAACCACAAGAUGAAGGUUUCCCUACCCGCACAAACACUGAGUCACUCAGUGUCAGUGGCUCUCCGCACAAUGCGAGAUCUUGGGUACUCUCAGUUCAGAGACUGUGAGGCAACAGCAGAUUUCAUCGAGGUAAAUCCUAAUAAUUCUGAUUGUAUCAUAGGUUUUUUCCACAAAUUUAAGGUUUUUCGAUAUUUAACUAACAUGACAUUUAUAUGCCAAUAUUUUUUUUAUAGAUGAUUGACAGUCUCUUUAAUAUUAUGAAUGGACGCAAUCCUCGUGCCAAAGGAUUCAAAGCUCCUUUCGGUGCUUUGAAUUUGAUAGAGAGGAAAGCAUUUUUGUCAAGAGCCAGAGAGCACUUGCUCACUUUGGCGACAAAAGAUGGAACACCCCUCCACCGCCCUAAGAGGUCUUUUAAAAAAGAUCAUUAAAGUUGAAAGUUCGAGAAAGUUACUGCAUGAGUUCAUUGAAACAGUUCCAGUUUUUGUUCCAUGCAUCGAGUUCAUAAAAUGCCUCAUUCUGUAUCAGGUUCAUAUAAUACAGUAUAUUUUCUUUUUGUAUUGUCUGCCAACAUGAUGCUCUUUAAUUACAAUGUUUUUCUGUCCAGUUGCAUUUGUCCAAAUUAACGUGUAUUAAGUGUUUUUCAGGUCCCAGAUGCAUAUAAAUCUAUUUUUCCCCCCAACAUCGAGAUUUGUAGGUGUCAAAAAGAGAGCUUGUAUGUACGAGGGAUGUUGUCGUUUUCUGCCACUUAUCCGGGUUGCAGGGGCAGCAGCUUCAGGAGGGAGGUCCAGAUCUCCGGUGGGAUCCCCAGACGUUCCCAAGCCAGGCGAGAGACACAAUCCCUCCACCUGGUCCUGGGUCGGCCACAAGGUCUCCUCCCGGUUGGACAUGUCUGGGACACCUCUAACGGGAGGCAUCCAGAAGGCGUCCUGACCAG